rnacentral:rRNA from 1 species
AGUAAAUAGAUACCCCGGUAGUCCUAGCCGUAAACGAUACUCGCUAGGUGUCGGCCACGGUGCGACCGUUGUCGGUGCCGUAGGGAAAGCCGUGAAGCGAGCCACCUGGGAAGUACGGCCGCAAGGCUGAAACUUAAAGGAAUUAGCGGGGGAGCACCACAACGGGUGGAGCUUGCGGUUUAAUUGGAUUCAACGCCGGAAAUCUUACCGGGACCGACAGCAACAUGAAGGCCAGGCUGAAGACUUUGCCGGAUUAGCUGAGAGGUGGUGCAUGGCCGUCGUCAGUUCGUACUGUGAAAGCAUCCUGUUAAGUCAGGCAACGAGCGAGACCCACGCCCACAGUUGCCAGCGUACUCUCUGGAGUGACGGGUACACUGUGGGGACCGCCGCUGCUAAAGCGGAGGAAGGAAUGGGCAACGGUAGGUCAGUAUGCCCCGAAUAUCCCGGGCUACACGCGAGCUACAAUGGUUGGUACAAUGGGUAUCUACCCCGAAAGGGGAUGGAAAUCUCCUAAAGCCAAUCUUAGUUCGGAUUGAGGGCUGCAACUCGCCCUC